AGAGAGAGAGAGAUUUAACAUGUAACUGUGAUCCUCGCUUUUGUAAUAGUGAUCCACCUUCAACACACGCGACAUGCCCCAAUCUCUCUAACAUGUAAUGGUGAUCAGGGAUCCCUAUUACAAUUGUAAUAGUUAUCCAAACACACGCAAUGUGUGCAUUUACACGCAGCAUGCCAUAGGCAUAUCGAUACACACACACAAUAUCGAUAUGUGUGUGAUCUCAUCAAACUUUGUGCCAAUGAGUGCGGUGACUAAAGCUGAAACUUGAAAGGCUAAAAUUGAUUGCUUCAAAUAAUCUACGUUGAUGGAGGGCCAGCAAGUUCUUCAAGAUCUCUCUAAUGAGUCCAUGAGACGUACAUGUAGAAGAUAACAUGAAUAAUGGUGUUA